rnacentral:rRNA from 1 species
GACGAACGCUGGCGGCGUGCUUAACACAUGCAAGUCGAGCGGAAAGGCCCUGCUUUUGUUGGGUGCUCGAUUGGCGAACGGGUGAGUAACACUUGAGUAACCUGCCCUUGACUUUGUGAUAACUUCAGGAAACUGCGGCUCAUACCCGGUAUAAUCUCCUGCUGCAUGUUGGUGGUUGGAAAGUUUCGGCGGUUGUGGAUGGACUCGCGGCUUAUCAGCUUCUUUGUGGAGUAGUGUCUUACCAAGGCUUUGACGGGUAGCCGGCCUGAGAGGGGUACCGGGCACAUUGGGACUAAGAGACGGAGCAGAAGGCUACGGGAGGCAGCAGUGGGGAAUAUGGCAGAAUGGGCGGAAGCCUGAGGCAGAAACGCCGCGUGCGGGAUGACGGCCUUCGGGGUGUAAACCGAUUUGGACGGUGAUGAAGAGUGAGUGACGGUAAUGGGUAAAGAAGCAACGGCUAACUACGUG